UAACUAACACAAACUUCUACUGAUUCUACAGAUCUGCAGCUGACGUUUCGAUUGUUUGUGCUUGGAGCAGGAGGACUUUUUAUUUUGGGGCUUCUACCAUUUUGUUGCUGUGCCUGUUUGCAGAGGAGUCAAUGUUUCAAUCCUCUACGAAGUGCGAGUAAAGAAGUAGAACAAAUUGUGCAGAAGAAAAGAGCGCGUAGUGAAAAUAAUCAUGGCUUUUUAUCGGAUUUACUUAAGAAAAUCUCCAAGGACCGUAAGAGCAAGAAGAAAGCAGCAGCAGCAGCAGAAACACCUGCAUGAAGUCUGCAGACCAAGACACGUUAAGAUUCAGGCUAGCAAUUAUUUUUGAACACAGAAG
rnacentral:lncRNA from 1 species